UACGGAGGGUGCAAGCGUUAUCCGGAUUUACUGGGUUUAAAGGGUGUGUAGGCGGACUAUUAAGUCAGGGGUGAAAUCCCGAGGCUCAACCUCGGAACUGCCUUUGAUACUAUUAGUCUUGAAUGUUGUUGAGGUGGGCGGAACGGGUCAUGUAGCGGUGAAAUGCAUAGAUAUGACCCGGAACACCGAUUGCGAAGGCAGCCCGCUAAGCAACUAUUGACGCUGAGGCACGAAAGCGUGGGGAUCAAACAGG
rnacentral:rRNA from 1 species